GCCUUUUCUUCUUCUCCAUAUCCCGUUGUACUAAAUUUAGAGAACCAUCUCACUCCAGAUCUUCAAGCUAAAACAGCUAAGGUUUGGAUUUUGAUUCUUUUUCUUUAAUCAAUAUAAUUAAUUGGUAUAUUAUAAUGUUACCACCAUUAUGAUUUUCUUGUACAGAUGAUCGCUGACACAUUUGAAGAUUUGUUGUUCAAACCAGAAGACUUGAACUCAAUAGUGGAAUUUCCAUCACCAGAGUUUUUAAUGCAUCGGAUCAUAGUUUCAGCAGAACAUCCAGAAGAUGAAGAACAAGAUUAUCAGUACUCGACAUCUGCGUACAAGCAUAUAAUCACAAUUAAAGAUGCAAAACCAAAGGAUGGGGUAAAAAUCUCCGUAACCAAUAUUAAUUCUAAUGCAGUUGGUCAACUUAACGUAAGUGAACCAGAUCUUAAGAAUGCAUUGGAGACUCAUGGGGCUCACUUGGUAAGGUAUUUAACUAUUCAUUCAUACUCAUUUAUUUUAGAUUAUAUAUGUGCAAAUAGAAUGCAAAUAAUGCAAGAAUCUUUAUUGUCUAAGAACAGUGAGAAAUUCAAUUUUACACAUUUAUUUGAAGUUUGUCUUUUUGCACCUUUGUUUUAUGCUUUGCAUAUUUAUUUUAUUUUGUCACGCAUUUGUUUACUGAAUAGUCGCAUAAAACAAUAAAAACUUGAACUUCACAUUUUUUAAAUUCCCAUUGUAGAUUUUCUCAAAAGAAUAUCAUAAGAGUAUAUCCCAAAGGUACUCGUAUCACUUCUUCAAAUUUUAAUCCAUUCAUUGGAUGGACACAUGGGGCACAAAUGGUGGCAUUCAAUAUGCAGGUUACAAUCAACAUAUGCUUCCUAUUUUCUAUGUUUGAAUAUACUCAUUGGCAAUUUCGGGUUAAUUAGGGACAUGGAAAACAUCUCUGGAUCAUGCAAGGGUUCUUCAGGGCCAAUGGAGGAUGUGGGUAUGUCAAAAAACCUGAUUUUCUAAUGAAUGCCAGCUCGGAUGACAGAGUAUUAUUUCAAACUGAAAAGAAAAUAUUAAAGGUGAUAAAUAUCAUAGGUGUUGUUGUCUUGCUUACUUUUAUUAUUUAUUAGCACUAAAUAUGAUAAUGCAGGUCAAAGUCUAUAUGGGUUAUGGAUGGAAAAAUGAUUUUUCAAAGAGGCAUUUCGAUAAGUUCUCUCCCCCAGAUUUCUUUACAAAGGUAUGCUUGAUGAUACUAAACUCUACUCUCUUAGAUUUACAUUAAUUUACAAGAUGCUUAUUUUGGUUCUUUCUGAUUUGCACUCAUGAAUGAGUUUAUUCUUUUUUUGCCGUUUAGUUAUCAUUUUCUAAUUUAAUUGGAGAAGUGAUUUGUGCUUUGUCAAAAUUCUUUUAUACAUAAAAUAGCAUGUUUAUGCUAGUGAUAUAUAUAGUAGGUAGUCGUAGUUCUUAUGUUUCAUAUAUUGGUUUAAUUUUUCUCUAUAUCUAAUAUAAUAUUGAUUUGGUGGUAUUUUAAGCGUAUUCUGAUUUUUUUUGGCAGAAUUCAAAAUUUUCAUUAUAAAAAUGAAGGGUAGUUCCCUGAUUUUCGUAGAGAAGAUAAAGAGAUGUAUGGACUAUGGAGAUGAGCUUUGACUCAUCAACACUUUCCUACAUAGCCUUACAAUCAGUGAUUGGAAUAACUAUGAGCAGCCUUAGAAGUUUGUCUCCAAAACUGAUAGAGGAGAAAUGAAGCAAGGAUUCUGUUCAGACAGAGUCCUGCCCAAUUAUCUAUAAAACCCCUAUAAUUCUUUUCAUUGUUGUCCAUCACAAUGGAAAGAAUAUAAAUAGGAAAUAAAGAUGGACAGUAGGACAGUUUACUUUUCAGAGAUUAUUACCAAGGUAUUUCCUUCUCUCUCGUUCUCUCUUUAAUUCCUUCCUUUUUUCUACUUUCCUUUUUAGCAUCUGGUGGAUUCCAGAUCUUAUCUUCUUCUUCCUCUUGUCAAUCCAUCCUCACGAUUGGAUUGAUCUUUUGUGGAUCUAGCAUUCACACCCUAUCAAGUGGUAUCAGACUAGGCAAUGACCACAAUGUCCGAUGUGGUGACCAGGAAGGAUGUGGACGAUCCGAGGAAGUCCCUAUCCGAUCUAACAAUGGUGGUGGACGGUCUGGCCAGAAAAAUCAGUGGCUCAAUGGGAGAACCAGCAAACGCAUAACAACCUAGAUGGGACAGUGUGUUUGGACAGACGCUUAGGAGGCAUGGGAAGGAACCGAUGCCAAAUUCAUCAUCCUCCGAUGAUAACUGGCCGCCCUCAAACAGAAACGACGAUCGCCGGAGGUCACCUCGCCGGAAUCGCGACGAUGACUGGAAUCGUUUUUUUGGACAGCAAUACGAAAGAAAAAAUUAUCAGCAAGGUCCGGACAGACGACAACAAUACCCAAGGAAUAGAGACAGUGGAUAUGGAGAAGAUUAUCGACGGGGGAAUGAUCGAUUCCAUCAUGACCGGCCACCGGAUUUCGAGAAUGAAGAGUUUGGUUAUCGCCCUCAACGGCAACAAAAUAGGGAUGGAGAAAAUUAUAGAAUCAAGAGGGAUAUCCCAACAUUCAACAGAUUAUUAAAUAUAGAAGAGGUGCUUGAUUGGAUCUCGGAGGUGGAAAGAGUCCUUGACUGUUAUGACAUAGAAGAACACCGUCAAGUCAAGUUAGUAGCACUGAGAUUCAAAGGCAGUGCAAUGGCCUGGUGGGAUCAAACUGUCAAUAACAGAGCUAGACAAUAAAAAAAAUCCAUCAGAUCUUGGGCAAAAUAAAAAGACACCUCAAGAUGAGAUUUCUUCCUCAUGAUUACGAGAGGACACUCUACCAGCGGUACCAGAAUUGCAGACUAGGUAUUAAAUCAGUCCGUGAGUAUACUGAAGAAUUUCAACGUCUGGGUGGGAUCAAGGAAUAAUUUAAGAGAAACUGAAGAACAAUUAAUUGCUCGCUUUGCUAGUGGUCUUUAAGUGGGAGUUCAAGAGAAAAUGCAAUUACACACAACUGCGAGCCUUUCUGAAACCAUUAAUUUGGCUGAAAACAUUGAAAGAUUUAAUUCUAGAUCAUGGAAUCCAUCAGUCCAGCAGCCUUCAUAUUACAAAGAAGGGUCAGGGAAUUCAGCAACACAAAGCACUCCCAAUUCUCAAAAAGGACCACUUUUGGACAAUCCAAAAGAUGCUAAAGGUAAAGACAUCAACCCUUAUCCUCGUCAACCUUUUAUUAAAUGUUAUAGGUGCAAUGGCAUUGGACAUAAAUCCAAUGUAUGUCCAAAAAGGGGAGAAGUUGGGUUUUGUGACCACUACUAUGAAGAAAUUCCAGAAAAUGUGGAAACAAAUGAGGACAACUUGGAGGUGGAACAAGGACCAGAUGAAGGACACCACUUAUCCUGCGUUAUGCACAGAUUAUGUCUAACACCUAAAACACCUAUAUUGGAUCAAAGACAUAACUUAUUUCGUACUAGAGGCAUUGUCAAGGGAAGGACUUUAGACAUAAUCAUUGACAACAGCAGUACAGACAAUUUGGUCUCAAUUAAGGCUGCUACAACUCUGAAAUUACCUUUUGAAAAACACCCAAGGCCAUAUCAAUUAGGGUGAAUUAAGGUUGGGGACUCAGUCAAAGUAAUUCAGCAGUGUGUAGUCCAUUUAUCUAUUGGGAAAUAUUAUGAAGACAAAAUAUUAUGCGAUGUGGUUCCAAUGGAUGCUACACACCUCUUAUUGGGCAGACCGUGGCACUUUGAUGCAGAUGUAACUUACAGGGGGGAAAUUAAAUCAGUAUGUAGUGCAGGUCAACGACAGAAGAAUUGUGUUACUACCUCUUGAACCAGAACCAGAGAAGGAAGGAAAAAAACCGAGUCUACUGAGUCAAGGGAAGUCUGAAUUUUUGGAGGAAGUAAUAAGAGAAGGGGGAGGUUUAGCACUGGUGGUGAAUGAAGUUCAGAAGGAGUCCAUUCAGAGAAUUCCAGAAACAGUAAAAAAAGUUUUAGAAAAAAUUCCAGAAACAUGUGAGGAAUCUGAGCUGCAAUCCCUUCCACCCCACAGAGAGAUUGAUCGCCAAAUUGACUUAAUCCCGGGCUCAAGACUUCCAAAUUUGAGUCACUACAGGCUGAGCCCUAAAGAGGUAGAAAUUCUGCAAGAACAAGUAAAUAAAUUACUAUUGGGAGGACUGAUCAAACCCAGCUUGAGUCCAUGUGCUGUCCUAACACUAUUGGUGCCUAAAAAAAAUGGGGAAUUCCGAAUGUGUGUUGAUAGUGGGGCUAUUAACAAAAUAACAGUAAAAUACCGAUUUCUAAUACCCAGGGUAGAAGAAUUGUUAGAUGAACUAUCGGGUUCCACUAUAUUUUCCAAAUUAUACCUCAAAAGUGGUUACCGCCAGACAUAGUUCGAAAAAGCGGAAAGCGCUCCCAAUUUCCAGGGAGCGCUUUUUUAGCUUUAACCGCUUUAGCGUCGCUUAAAGCGGU
rnacentral:lncRNA from 1 species